rnacentral:tRNA from 1 species
GGCCCGUUGGAGAAGUGGUUUAACUCACAUGCCUUUCACGCAUGCAUCCAUGGGUUCGAAUCCCGUACGGGUCACCA